rnacentral:rRNA from 1 species
AGAGAUCAUGGCUCAGGACGAACGCUGGCGGCGUGCUUAACACAUGCAAGUCGAACGAGGUCCAACCAGUCGCAAGACUGGGGAAGACCUAGUGGCGAACGGGUGAGUAACACGUGAGGAACGUGCCCCGGAGACCGGGAUAACAGCGGGAAACCGCUGCUAAUACCGGAUACCUUCUUUUGAUCGCAUGGUCAGCUGAAGAAAUGGAUUCCGCUCCGGGAGCGCCUCGCGGUCUAUCAGCUUGUUGGUGGGGUAACGGCCUACCAAGGCGACGACGGAUAGCUGGUCUGAGAGGACGAUCAGCCACACUGGGACUGAGACACGGCCCAGACUCCUACGGGAGGCAGCAGUGGGGAAUCUUGCCCAAUGGGCGAAAGCCUGAGGCAGCAACGCCGCGUGUGGGAUGAAGGCCCUUGGGUUGUAAACCACUUUCAGCAGGGACGAAAAUGACGGUACCUGCAGAAGAAGCCCCGGCCAACUACGUGCCAGCAGCCGCGGUAAGACGUAGGGGGCGAGCGUUGUCCGGAUUUAUUGGGCGUAAAGAGCUCGUAGGCGGCUCAGAAAGUCGGGUGUGAAACCUCCAGGCUCAACCUGGAGACGCCACCUGAUACUGCUGUGGCUAGAGUCCGGUAGGGGAGCACGGAAUACCCGGUGUAGCGGUGAAAUGCUUAGAUAUCGGGUGGAACACCAGUGGCGAAGGCGGUGCUCUGGGCCGGAACUGACGCUGAGGAGCGAAAGCGUGGGUAGCAAACAGGAUUAGAUACCCUGGUAGUCCACGCCGUAAACGUUGGGCACUAAGUGUGGGACCCUAUCGACGGGAUCCGUGCCGUAGCUAACGCAUUAAGUGCCCCGCCUGGGGAGUACGGCCGCAAGGCUAAACCUCAAAGGAAUUGACGGGGG